UGAUUAUGGUGAGGAAACUUUCUUUAGAAUAGCCUUGAAUCUUUCCGAAGCUUGGUAAAGAUUCUCUCCAUCGUUUUACCUAAAACUCAAAAUAUCAUGUCUCAAAUA
rfam:Capsicum annuum cultivar Zunla-1 chromosome 10, whole genome shotgun sequence